rnacentral:rRNA from 1 species
UACGUAGGGUGCAGGCGUUAAUCGGAAUUACUGGGCGUAAAGCGUGCGCAGGCGGUUUCUUAAGUCAGAUGUGAAAGCCCCGGGCUUAACCUGGGAACUGCGUUUGAAACUGGGAGACUUGAGUGUGGCAGAGGGGGGUGGAAUUCCACGUGUAGCAGUGAAAUGCGUAGAUAUGUGGAGGAACACCGAUGGCGAAGGCAGCCCCCUGGGUCGACACUGACGCUCAUGCACGAAAGCGUGGGGAGCAAACAGG